UCUACGAACGACUGCGGACCCAAUCCUCCAUGUAGAAAAGCAAGAAUGGCAUCUUUGAAUAGACCAAAUCGCUGACUUCUCCGAAUGACUGCGCCCACAAUUUUCCGUGUAGAAAAGCAACAAUCGCAUCUUUGAAUAGCUGAAGAAGUGCACUUUUCGGACAUAUAUG